AUUGAACGCUGGCGGCAUGCCUUACACAUGCAAGUCGAACGGUAACGCGGGGGCAACCCUGGCGACGAGUGGCGAACGGGUGAGUAAUACAUCGGAACGUACCCAGUAGUGGGGGAUAGCUCGGCGAAAGCCGGAUUAAUACCGCAUACGACCUAUGGGUGAAAGCGGGGGAUCGCAAGACCUCGCGCUAUUGGAGCGGCCGAUGUCGGAUUAGCUAGUUGGUGAGGUAAAGGCUCACCAAGGCUACGAUCCGUAGCUGGUCUGAGAGGACGACCAGCCACACUGGGACUGAGACACGGCCCAGACUCCUACGGGAGGCAGCAGUGGGGAAUUUUGGACAAUGGGCGAAAGCCUGAUCCAGCCAUGCCGCGUGUGUGAAGAAGGCCUGG
rnacentral:rRNA from 1 species